CGGCGGACGGGUGAGUAAUGCCUAGGAAUCUGCCUGGUAGUGGGGGACGAACGUUUCGAAAGGAACGCUAAUACCGCAUACGUCCUACGGGAGAAAGCAGGGACCUUCGGGCCUUGCGCUAUCAGAUGAGCCUAGGUUGGAUUAGCUAGUUGGUGAGGUAAUGGCUCACCAAGGCGACGAUCCGUAACUGGUCUGAGAGGAUGAUCAGUCACACUGGAACUGAGACACGGUCCAGACUCCUACGGGAGGCAGCAGGU
rnacentral:rRNA from 1 species